AGAGUUUGAUCAUGGCUCAGGAUGAACGCUAGCGGCAGGCCUAAUACAUGCAAGUCGAGGGGUAACGCGGUAGCAAUACUGGCGACGACCGGCGCACGGGUGCGUAACGCGUAUGCAAUUUGCCCAUAACAGGGGGAUAGCCCGGAGAAAUCCGGAUUAAUACCCCAUAGUAUAUUGAGAGGCAUCUCUUAAAUAUUAAAGAUUUAUCGGUUAUGGAUGAGCAUGCGUCUGAUUAGCUAGUUGGUGAGGUAAUGGCUCACCAAGGCUACGAUCAGUAGGGGGUCUGAGAGGAUGAUCCCCCACACUGGUACUGAGAUACGGACCAGACUCCUACGGGAGGCAGCAGUAGGGAAUAUUGGGCAAUGGACGAGAGUCUGACCCAGCCAUGCCGCGUGUAGGAAGAAGGCUUUCUGAGUUGUAAACUACUUUUGAUUGGGAACAAAAGAUCCUUGCGAGGAGCAUUGAGUGUACCAAUAGAAUAAGCACCGGCUAACUCCGUGCCAGCAGCCGCGGUAAUACGGAGGGUGCAAGCGUUGUCCGGAUUUAUUGGGUUUAAAGGGUGCGUAGGCGGCUAAUUAAGUCAGCGGUGAAAUUCUACAGCUUAACUGUUAGAACUGCCAUUGAUACUGGUUGGCUUGAGUACAGAUGAGGUAGGCGGAAUUGACAGUAGCGGUGAAAUGCUUAGAUAUUGUCAAGAACACCUAUUGCGAAGGCAGCUUACUAAACUGUAACUGACGCUGAGGCACGAAAGCGUGGGGAUCAAACAGGAUUAGAUACCCUAGUAGUCC
rnacentral:rRNA from 1 species